UAGAAAUAACAAAAUCCUCAAAUGAAGAUGGUAAAUGGUAUUCCUUUUAUAAUAUCUUUUAUUUAAAUCUUGCAAUUAUAAAUACAACCACUAUACCCAGGGGAAACAAAUGAGUUAGCUAUAAUAAAAUCAUCAAAUAUAAUGAAACAUUAUGUGUUAUAAAAGCACGUGAGCUCUCAGUUGAUUUGGCUGGAAAAUCAUCAAAUGAUGAUGAGAAAAUCAAUGUCCUUAAAAAGAUAUUUCAUUAUACUUAAAUUUUCAGUUUAAAAAUGAUAAUGAAAAAUUGUUAGCUAUUGAAAAUAUUUGGACACCUGACAAAUGCUAUAAAUUUCCAUUGCCCUUGGAUAAAAGAAAUUUAACAUUUCAAACAUUGUGGCUUAACAAAUAUAAGUGGCUUGCUUAUUCAGCUAAUGAAAAGGGAGUUUUUUGUAAAGUGUGCGUCAUUUUUUCACCAAGAUAUGCUGGAACUGGGUUACAAAAACUCAAAACAUUGGUAAGUCAAGUAUAUACAAGAUGGAAAGAUGCUCUUGAAAAUUUUAAUUAUCAUCAACAAAAUAAAUAUCAUCUCAAUUCUUGUGAGAUAUCUGAUGCUUUAAAAGCCAUCUCUAUGAAUCAAAAGAUAUCAAUAUCUAUAUUGAAUAAAAAAAAAUUUGAUAUUGUUACAACCAACAGAGCAAGAAUAAUUAUAAUAACAGAUGCAAUCAUUUAGCUAGGGAGGCAGGGCAUAGCAUUAAGAGCUCAUAGAGUAUCAGCUGGCCCCUUAACACUUUCAUCUUCUCAUAAUGAAGGGAAUUUUAAGGAAUUGCUGAAACUUUUAUGCAACAAUAAUGAUAAUUAUAUAAAGCUUUUUGAAAGCUCGGCUAAUAAGGCCACCUACCUUAGUCCAUGCUUUCAAAAUAAAAUUAUAUCCAUAUGCAAUAAGUUUAUAUUGAAAGAAAUUUCUACAAAGGUGAAAGCAUCACCAUUUUUUAGUGUUCUGGCGGAUGAGACUUCGGACGUUGGGCAUAGAGUAAUUAUCCAUAGCAGUAAGGUUUAUUGAUAUGGAAUCAGGUGAUUAUAAAAUGAAGGAACUCUUUGUUCAAUUUAAUGAUUUACAUGACACUAAAUCAGAGACGAUAGCCAAAGAAAUUUUAGCAUCCCUUCAAGAUCUAGAUUUAAAUCUAAUGAGAGGCCAGGAAUAUGAUGGAGCUCCCUCAAUGAGUGGUCACGUUAAGGGGAUGCAGUCAAGAAUUAGAGAGCUUUAUAGCACCGCUUUAUAUGUUCACUGUAGUUCACAUUGCCUAAAUUUGAUGAUAUCCGAGGCAUGUGAAAUUCGAGACAUCUGGAACAGUUUACAAACAAUAUCGUCGGUUUGUGACUUUUUCACACCACCCAAAAAGAGACAGCUAUUUAUCCGAACAUUUGAUGAUAUUGAUUCAAAUAAUCCAAAAAAAAAACUAAAACGAUUUUGACAACAAUCAGUGAGACUCUUCAUUGGAUUAUAUGAAGUUAUUUUUGCAGCACUCUAAUCCUACGUAUCCAGCAAAGAAAAGAAUUCCUCAGAUGCUGAAAAUUUCUUACAGGCGAUUACGAAGUCACAAUUUUUAAUAUCAAUUCAAUGUGUAUAUUUUUUAUUUAAUUAUACAUAUGAUUUUAGCAAAAUGCUUCAAAAAAUUGAUUUGGAUUUAAGAGAGGUUAUGAAUAGGGCAAAGGAUAUUGUUGAAAUAUUAACAAAUAUCAGAGAAAAUGUGGAUGAAAAAUUUCAUGAUUUUACGAGAAAGAAAAGGAGAUCGCUAAUUUGUUUGGGAUUGAAAUUUUUAAACCUAGAGUAGUUUCUAGACAGUCCAAUUGCUUAAAUAUUUAUGCCUCUUCGAUUGAGAAUUUUUAUAAAAUAAAUAUUUUUAUUCCGCUUAAUGACACAUUUUUAUUUCAAUUAAAAGAAAGAUUUAUUAGUCAUAAUUUUAUUUUAAAAAGUUUUUAUUUUCUUCUGCCGGUUGAGUCUGAAUUGUUGAUUACACGUGAAACGCUAGAGGAUAUUAAGAAAAUCUUAGAGUUUUAUUCUGAUGAUUUAUUAGGAUCGUAUGAUAAGUUACUUUGUGAUGUCGAAUUUUGGUAUAAAAAUCUUGACAGAAUAGAGUACUCUUUGAAACCUAAAAAUGCUUUGCAGACCCUUUCCAUGUGUAAUUGCACUUUAGAUUCCCUGCCAAAUAUCAAAACAUUACUUUUUAUUUUAGCUACUUUACUGAUUAUACCUGCACUAAUGAAAGGUCUUUUUCAACUUUGAAAAGGUUAAACCUAUUUAAGAAAUAGCACUGGUGAAAACCAUUUAAAUAAAUUAACCCUUUUAAAUAUUUAUAAGGAGAUUAUUCUAGAUAAAAAUUUGAUUCUAGAUGAAUUAGCCAAAUCUCAGAGAAAA